GAACUUCACGUGACCCGUACCCAGCAAGGCCUGCGGUGGGUACGUUACGUCACUAUGGGCUGACCCGGCAACCAGACGUCAUCAUGAUGUUCAAGCCGAAGUCAGCACUCAAGGUCGAAGCAGCCUGCAAACGUGAAUAAAGAGCCGUUCGCAUCUUCUU
rnacentral:lncRNA from 1 species